rnacentral:rRNA from 1 species
GUGGGGAAUAUUGGGCAAUGGGCGAAAGCCUGACCCAGCAACGCCGCGUGAGGGAAGAAGGGUUUCGGCUCGUAAACCUCUGUCCUAUGGGACGAAGGAAGUGACGGUACCAUAGGAGGAAGCCCCGGCUAACUACGUGCCAGCAGCCGCGGUAAUACGUAGGGGGCGAGCGUUGUCCGGAAUGAUUGGGCGUAAAGGGCGCGUAGGCGGCCUGCUAAGUCUGGAGUGAAAGUCCUGCUUUCAAGGUGGGAAUUGCUUUGGAUACUGGGAGGCUGGAGUGCAGGAGAGGAAAGCGGAAUUACCGGUGUAGCGGUGAAAUGCGUAGAGAUCGGUAGGAACACCAGUGGCGAAGGCGGCUUUCUGGACUGAAACUGACGCUGAGGCGCGAAAGCGUGGGGAGCAAACAGG